GUGCUUUCUUUGGCAGCACAUAUACUAAAAUUGGAAUGAUACACAGAAGAUUAGCAUGGCCCUUGUGUAAGGAUGACAUGCAAAUUUGUGAAGCAUUCCAUAUUUAA
ensembl:snRNA U6 U6 spliceosomal RNA